rnacentral:lncRNA from 1 species
CAAAAUUUAAAAAAAAGAAAUAUUCCAUAUAAAACCAAAAAAAAAAGGUCACGUGAAAAAUAAGGUGGAAAAUCAAUUCCAUAGAAAAUUUUGCCCAUCAAACAAGACAUUUGAGUGAAAAAUUUCAUUUUCCGUGAAAUUGAUUUGUAUCAAACAAACCCCUUGUUUGAUAGGCUCCUCUUUCUAUGGAAAAUUUCCACCCAAACGAUGUAUUUGAUAAUCAAAAAAUUCCAUGUAAUUAAUUUUCCAAUUUCCCCCUCACGUGACCACAUUUUCUUGAUUUUUAGGGAAUUCAAUUUCCUUUCAUUUGGCAAGAAUUGGGUUUGCUAGCUUCUUCCUUUUUAUUUAUUUAAAAUUUUUUUUACAAUAAAAACAAAUUCUAUUAACAAUCGUAACAAAUCAUCUCUUUAAUUAACAAUUUUUAUAAAAAAAUAAAGUCAAACAAACACCAAAAAAUUCAAAAUUUAAACAUUUUUCAAGUGAAAAAUUAUAACAAUCAAAUACAUUUAAUUGACAAUUAUCGACAAAACAAAUUCUAGACAAUUUAAUUCCCUGAAAUUCAUUUUCGUUCCACUCAAAUUCCAUUCUUGCAAUCAAACAAAUCCUUAAUGUUAUUCUAUCUUCCGCGGGGGAAGUUGUUGACCAUACUAUUCCGCAGGGUGUGAUAUUUUCCGUUUUAAAAGAAUGGCAAACAGGGAAAAAAAAACCAACUAUACAAGAAUUAGAAAACUCGGCUCCCUCAGAAUUCAAGUAUAUUUUCAACAUCAACAUUCAGACAAGGCUGAAACAUUAAUAAUAUUUAUUUUCCAUCACUGGGAGCUUCUUAGAUGUAGAACAAAGCCAUAAACCUAGGAUAAAAUACAAGUUCAAGAUCAAGUACUUGUUUGGGAUAACUUAAAAAAGUUACUAAAAAUUUAGGCCAGAAUUCACACAUUUCUUGGGAGCCCCCAACUUAUAUCAACUAUUCAUCCACAAUUUUCAUCAUUUUUUUAUUAAAAUCUACUCAAAAAUAUAUCAAAAGCUUCAUCAAACAGCCCCUAAGACAACAAACAAAGCUAACUUCAUAAUAUCAGAAUAUAAUUACAGAUUCUUCAAGACACAUGAACCACAAGAAAAUUCAUUUCUUAAUAAAACCAUUGAUCAGAUAAUUGUAGUCUGGAAGCAUUUUUUGAUCGUCAUUUAUUCAUCCAAAUCGGCUAUUCCUCACCUCAAUGGUUCAACAAAGCCAUAAAAAUAAAGCAAAUAGAGAAUUAGUGCAUAAAUAUAGGAAUUUGUGGAUAAAUUGCCAAGGAAAAUGGACUGAGUGAGAUGGGCUCAGAAGGAUCCAUUGGUUUAUUAUAAUCAAAGGAAUAUCCCUCAGAAAAUAGGUAGUUUUCAACAUCACAGCCCAACUCAGCUCACCAAACUACAAUAACAAAAAGAAUUCAUAAAACUUUAACAAAAAUGUAGCUAACGUAGAAAAGCAGAAUUCGUGGAGCUCAGAACUCGGAUAACAAAUCAUGAACUAAGUUUCAUUUGUCCAGACAUAAUUGAAAAAGUUCAUCACAGCAGAACAAAAAUUAACAAUUUAGUUGAAAAUCAGAGAAUAAAAAAAAAUUGUUUAUAAUUUGAGAAUCUCAGAUACAUUCCAAAUGAGGAAUUAUGCAGACAUUCAACACGGCAUCAGAUUCAGUCCGCCCGUCUGCUUCUUAACAUCAUUGAGGAAAAACUUUAAAAUUAAAACAAAAGAAAAGCGUUUGAAGCAUUAUUUCAAAAAUAGAAGGCAUCAGAUAAUAAGCGGAGUUAUAUAGUCCACACGGUCAUUCAGUGUGUAGGAUAAGAUUUAACAUUCUUCAUUUGCCACUUUUAACAAAAAAAAUUAUAAACGAAAUAAUAAAUACAAAUCUUGGAAGGUCCAUUUGACACCAAGGCAAUUCAAAAUUGUGUGCAGUGGGCUGGUAAGCCAUCCUAUUGAAUUUAUGCGUCUGUUAUAUCUCCCAGUACACACAUAACAUCAUACACAAGGAGAGGGUAAAUCAGAUGCAAUAUUAUUCAUAAGCAAAAAUCUCACCAGAAAAAAAUCAUUAUCCAAGACACCAAAGAGAAGGAGAUAAUUAGGGAAGACGAGAGAACCCAAAUUGAUGAAUUUGGUGAAGAUAAACAAAAGAUGAUAACCUAAUUGAGUUGCUAGUUACUUGGAGCGAUGGAUCUGAGAGGCGGCUGCUGGGUUGUUUAAAUAGAGAUUUGCAGAGCUAGGGUUUCGUCCACAGCCGCACAAGAAAUAG